rnacentral:rRNA from 1 species
UACGUAGGGGGCAAGCGUUAUCCGGAUUUACUGGGUGUAAAGGGAGCGUAGACGGCUAAAUAAGUCAGAUGUGAAAGCCCAGGGCUCAACCCUGGGACUGCAUUUGAAACUAUGUAGCUAGAGUGCAGGAGAGGUAAGUGGAAUUCCUAGUGUAGCGGUGAAAUGCGUAGAUAUUAGGAGGAACACCAGUGGCGAAGGCGGCUUACUGGACUGUAACUGACACUGAGGCACGAAAGCGUGGGUAGCAAACAGG